UGGGGAAUCGUCUAACCGGCAGGACGGCUGGCUCUGGACCAGUUAAUUGGGGUUCGAAUCCCUAUUCCCCAG
rnacentral:tRNA from 1 species